AGAGUUUGAUCCUGGCUCAGGAUGAACGCUGGCGGCGUGCCUAACACAUGCAAGUCGAACGAAGCGCUUUCUUUUGAUUCUUCGGAUGAAGAAGACUGUGACUGAGUGGCGGACGGGUGAGUAACGCGUGGGCAACCUGCCCUGUACAGGGGGAUAACAGUUAGAAAUGACUGCUAAUACCGCAUAAGCGCACGAGGACGCAUGUUCUUGUGUGAAAAACUCCGGUGGUACAGGAUGGGCCCGCGUCUGAUUAGGUAGUUGGUGGGGCAGCGGCCUACCAAGCCGACGAUCAGUAGCCGACCUGAGAGGGUGACCGGCCACAUUGGGACUGAGACACGGCCCAAACUCCUACGGGAGGCAGCAGUGGGGAAUAUUGCACAAUGGGGGAAACCCUGAUGCAGCGACGCCGCGUGAAGGAAGAAGUAUUUCGGUAUGUAAACUUCUAUCAGCAGGGAAGAAACUGACGGUACCUGACUAAGAAGCACCGGCUAAAUACGUGCCAGCAGCCGCGGU
rnacentral:rRNA from 1 species